rfam:Dipodomys ordii contig_33224, whole genome shotgun sequence.
GGGAAGGUGGCUCAGUGGUAGAGUGCUUGCCUUGUAUGCAUGAGGCCCUGGGUUCAAUUCCUCAGCACCCCA